GGGACUACUGGGGUAUCUAAUCCCUUUCGCUCCCCUGGCUUUCGUCCAUGAGCGUCAGUUAUGGCCCAGCAGAGCGCCUUCGCCACUGGUGUUCUUCCCGAUAUCUACGCAUUUCACCGCUACACCGGGAAUUCCCUCUGCCCCUACCACACUCUAGUCUUACAGUUUCCAUCGCUCAAAUGGAGUUAAGCUCCACGCUUUAACGACAGACUUACAAGACCGCCUGCGGACGCUUUACGCCCAAUAAUUCCGGAUAACGCUUGCCACUCCCGUAUUACCGCGGCUGCUGCACU
rnacentral:misc_RNA from 1 species